rnacentral:rRNA from 1 species
CGCGGCCUAUCAGCUUGUUGGUGAGGUAACGGCUCACCAAGGCUAAGACGGGUAGGCGGCCUGAGAGGGUGGUCGCCCACACUGGCACUGAGACACUGGCCAGACUCCUACGGGAGGCUGCAGUCGAGAAUCUUCCGCAAUGGACGAAAGUCUGACGGAGCGACGCCGCGUGAAGGAUGAAUGCCUUCGGGUUGUAAACUUCUUUUAGCUGUUAGGAAUCGCUUGAGGUAAAUAGCUUCAAGUUUGACUAAUGCAGCAGAAAAAGCCCCAGCUAACUACGUGCCAGCAGCUGCGGUAAGACGUGGGGGGCAAACGUUGCUCGGAAUCACUGGGCUUAAAGAGCACGUAGGUGGUUUGGUAAGUCCGAUGUGAAAUCCCCCGGCUCAACCGGGGAAUUGCAUUAGAUACUGCCGAGCUAGAGGGUUGGAGGGGAGAUUGGAACUCCUGGUGGAGCGGUGAAAUGCGUAGAUAUUAGGAGGAACAUCGGUGGCGAAAGCGAAUCUCUGGCCAACUCCUGACACUGAGGUGCGAAAGCUAGGGGAGCAAACAGGAUUAGAUACCCUGGUAGUCCUAGCCGUAAACGAUGGGCACUAGAUAGAGGUCGGACCUAUGCCGUUCUCUGUCGAAGCAAAAGUGUUAAGUGCCCCGCCUGGGGAGUACGG